UACGUAGGGGGCAAGCGUUGUCCGGAAUUAUUGGGCGUAAAGAGCGUGUAGGCGGCCAGAUAAGUCCGCUGUGAAAUCUCGAGGCUCAACUUCGAGCUGUCGGCGGAAACUGUCUGGCUAGAGUCCGGAAGAGGAGAAUGGAAUUCCUGGUGUAGCGGUGAAAUGCGCAGAUAUCAGGAAGAACACCCGUGGCGAAGGCGGUUCUCUGGGACGGUACUGACGCUGAGACGCGAAAGCGUGGGGAGCGAACAGG
rnacentral:rRNA from 1 species